rnacentral:rRNA from 1 species
UGAGGAAUAUUGGUCAAUGGCCGGAAGGCUGAACCAGCCAAGUCGCGUGAGGGAAGACUGCCCUAUGGGUUGUAAACCUCUUUUAUUCGGGAAGAAUAAGUUUCACGCGUGGAACGAUGCCUGUACCGAAUGAAUAAGCAUCGGCUAACUCCGUGCCAGCAGCCGCGGUAAUACGGAGGAUGCGAGCGUUAUCCGGAUUUAUUGGGUUUAAAGGGUGCGUAGGCGGUUGAUUAAGUUAGUGGUAAAAUGUCAUGGCUAAACCUUGGCCAGCCAUUAAUACUGGUCAGCUUGAGUACAGACGAGGUAGGCGGAAUAAGUUAAGUAGCGGUGAAAUGCUUAGAUAUAACUUAGAACUCCGAUAGCGAAGGCAGCUUACCAGACUGUGACUGACGCUGAAGCA